rnacentral:rRNA from 1 species
UACGGGGGGGGCAAGCGUUGUUCGGAAUUACUGGGCGUAAAGGGCUCGUAGGCGGCCAACUAAGUCGGACGUGAAAUCCCUCGGCUUAACCGGGGAACUGCGUCCGAUACUGGAUGGCUUGAGUUUGGGAGAGGGAUGCGGAAUUCCAGGUGUAGCGGUGAAAUGCGUAGAUAUCUGGAGGAAUACCGAUGGCGAAGGCAGCCAUCUGGCCUAACACUGACGCUGAGGUGCGAAAGCAUGGGGAGCAAACAGG